rnacentral:rRNA from 1 species
UUAAGCGACUAAGCGUACACGGUGGAUGCCCUGGCAGUCAGAGGCGAUGAAGGACGUGCUAAUCUGCGAAAAGCGUCGGUAAGGUGAUAUGAACCGUUAUAACCGGCGAUGUCCGAAUGGGGAAACCCAGUGCAAUUCGUUGCACUAUCGUUAACUGAAUACAUAGGUUAACGAGGCGAACCGGGGGAACUGAAACAUCUAAGUACCCCGAGGAAAAGAAAUCAACCGAGAUUCCCCCAGUAGCGGCGAGCGAACGGGGAGCAGCCCAGAGUCUGAAUCAGCUUGUGUGUUAGUGGAACGGUCUGGAAAGUCCGACGGUACAGGGUGAUAGUCCCGUACACCAAAAUGCACAGGCUGUGAACUCGAAGAGUAGGGCGGGACACGUGGUAUCCUGUCUGAAUAUGGGGGGACCAUCCUCCAAGGCUAAAUACUCCUGACUGACCGAUAGUGAACCAGUACCGUGAGGGAAAGGCGAAAAGAACCCCGGCGAGGGGAGUGAAAAAGAACCUGAAACCGUGUACGUACAAGCAGUGGGAGCACCUUCGGGUGUGACUGCGUACCUUUUGUAUAAUGGGUCAGCGACUUAUAUUCUGUAGCAAGGUUAACCGUAUAGGGGAGCCGCAGGGAAACCGAGUCUUAACUGGGCGUUAAGUUGCAGGGUAUAGACCCGAAACCCGGUGAUCUAGCCAUGGGCAGGUUGAAGGUUGGGUAACACUAACUGGAGGACCGAACCGACUAAUGUUGAAAAAUUAGCGGAUGACUUGUGGCUGGGGGUGAAAGGCCAAUCAAACCGGGAGAUAGCUGGUUCUCCCCGAAAGCUAUUUAGGUAGCGCCUCGUGAAUUCAUCUUCGGGGGUAGAGCACUGUUUCGGCUAGGGGGUCAUCCCGACUUACCAACCCGAUGCAAACUACGAAUACCGAAGAAUGUUAUCACGGGAGACACACGGCGGGUGCUAACGUCCGUCGUGAAGAGGGAAACAACCCAGACCGCCAGCUAAGGUCCCAAAGUCAUGGUUAAGUGGGAAACGAUGUGGGAAGGCACAGACAGCCAGGAUGUUGGCUUAGAAGCAGCCAUCAUUUAAAGAAAGCGUAAUAGCUCACUGGUCGAGUCGGCCUGCGCGGAAGAUGUAACGGGGCUAAACCAUGCACCGAAGCUGCGGCAGCGACACUAUGUGUUGUUGGGUAGGGGAGCGUUCUGUAAGCCUGCGAAGGUGACCUGUGAGGCAUGCUGGAGGUAUCAGAAGUGCGAAUGCUGACAUAAGUAACGAUAAAGCGGGUGAAAAGCCCGCUCGCCGGAAGACCAAGGGUUCCUGUCCAACGUUAAUCGGGGCAGGGUGAGUCGACCCCUAAGGCGAGGCCGAAAGGCGUAGUCGAUGGGAAACAGGUUAAUAUUCCUGUACUUGGUGUUACUGCGAAGGGGGGACGGAGAAGGCUAUGUUAGCCGGGCGACGGUUGUCCCGGUUUAAGCAUGUAGGCUGGUUAUCCAGGCAAAUCCGGAUAAUCAAGGCUGAGGUGUGAUGACGAGGCACUACGGUGCUGAAGUAACAAAUGCCCUGCUUCCAGGAAAAGCCUCUAAGCAUCAGGUAACAUCAAAUCGUACCCCAAACCGACACAGGUGGUCAGGUAGAGAAUACCAAGGCGCUUGAGAGAACUCGGGUGAAGGAACUAGGCAAAAUGGUGCCGUAACUUCGGGAGAAGGCACGCUGGUGUGUAGGUGAAGUCCCUGCGGAUGGAGCUGAGACCAGUCGAAGAUACCAGCUGGCUGCAACUGUUUAUUAAAAACACAGCACUGUGCAAACACGAAAGUGGACGUAUACGGUGUGACGCCUGCCCGGUGCCGGAAGGUUAAUUGAUGGGGUUAUCCGUAAGGAGAAGCUCUUGAUCGAAGCCCCGGUAAACGGCGGCCGUAACUAUAACGGUCCUAAGGUAGCGAAAUUCCUUGUCGGGUAAGUUCCGACCUGCACGAAUGGCGUAAUGAUGGCCAGGCUGUCUCCACCCGAGACUCAGUGAAAUUGAACUCGCUGUGAAGAUGCAGUGUACCCGCGGCAAGACGGAAAGACCCCGUGAACCUUUACUAUAGCUUGACACUGAACAUUGAGCCUUGAUGUGUAGGAUAGGUGGGAGGCUUUGAAGCGUGGACGCCAGUCUGCGUGGAGCCAACCUUGAAAUACCACCCUUUAAUGUUUGAUGUUCUAACGUUGGCCCCUUACCGGGGUUGCGGACAGUGUCUGGUGGGUAGUUUGACUGGGGCGGUCUCCUCCCAAAGCGUAACGGAGGAGCACGAAGGUUAGCUAAUCCUGGUCGGACAUCAGGAGGUUAGUGCAAUGGCAUAAGCUAGCUUGACUGCGAGCGUGACGGCGCGAGCAGGUGCGAAAGCAGGUCAUAGUGAUCCGGUGGUUCUGAAUGGAAGGGCCAUCGCUCAACGGAUAAAAGGUACUCCGGGGAUAACAGGCUGAUACCGCCCAAGAGUUCAUAUCGACGGCGGUGUUUGGCACCUCGAUGUCGGCUCAUCACAUCCUGGGGCUGAAGUAGGUCCCAAGGGUAUGGCUGUUCGCCAUUUAAAGUGGUACGCGAGCUGGGUUUAGAACGUCGUGAGACAGUUCGGUCCCUAUCUGCCGUGGGCGCUGGAGAAUUGAGGGGGGCUGCUCCUAGUACGAGAGGACCGGAGUGGACGCAUCACUGGUGUUCGGGUUGUCAUGCCAAUGGCACUGCCCGGUAGCUAAAUGCGGAAGAGAUAAGUGCUGAAAGCAUCUAAGCACGAAACUUGCCCCGAGAUGAGUUCUCCCUGAGACUUUAAGUCUCCUGAAGGAACGUUAAAGACGAUGACGUUGAUAGGCCGGGUGUGUAAGCGCAGCGAUGCGUUGAGCUAACCGGUACUAAUGAACCGUGAGGCUUAACCUU